AUUGAACGCUGGCGGCGUGCCUAAACACAUGCAAAGUCGAGCGGUAAACAAGGUGUAGCAAUACAUGCUGACGAGCGGCGGACGGGUGAGUAACGCUUGGGAAUCUGCCUGAUAGUGGGGGGACAACCCGGGGGAAACUCGGGCUAAUACCGCAUACGCACUACGGUGGAAAGCCGGGGACCGCAAGGCCUGGCGCUAACAGAUGAGCCCAAGUCGGAUUAGCUAGUUGGUAGGGUAACGGCCUACCAAGGCGACGAUCCGUAACUGGUCUGAGAGGACGACCAGUCACACCGGAACUGAGACACGGUCCGGACUCCUACGGGAGGCAGCAGUGGGGAAUAUUGGACAAUGGGCGAAAGCCUGAUCCAGCGACGCCGCGUGGGUGAAGAAGGCCUGCGGGUUGUAAAGCCCUUUUCGGUGGGGAAGAAAAGCCUCGAGUUAAUACCUCGGGGUCUUGACGUAACCCAUAGAAGAAGCACCGGGCUAACUCUGUGCCCAGCAGCCGCGGUAA
rnacentral:rRNA from 1 species